GGGUCAGUAGGUUGGUCGUGCCACCGGUACGUACUGGUCUCACUGAUUCCUCCUUCCUGAAGAACCGUAAUGCCAUUAAUUUGGUGUUGCGGGGAAACAGGACUGCUACUUUGAAAAAAUUAGAGUGUUUAAAGCAAGCUAACGCUUGAAUACAUUAGCAUGGAAUAAUGAAAUAGGACGAUCGAUCCUAUUUUGUUGGUCUCUAGGAUUGACGUA
rnacentral:rRNA from 1 species